rnacentral:rRNA from 1 species
GACGAACGCUGGCGGCGUGCUUAACACAUGCAAGUCGAGCGGAAAGGCCCUUCGGGGUACUCGAGCGGCGAACGGGUGCGUAACACGUGCGUAACCUGCCCCAGACUUUGGGUUAACCCUCGGAAACGGGGGCUAAUACCGAAUACGACACAGCUUCGCUUCGGGUCUGUGUGGAAAGUUUUUCGGUUUGGGAUGGGCUCGCGGCCUAUCAGCUUGUUGGUGGGGUGAUGGCCUACCAAGGCUACGACGGGUAGCCGGCCUGAGAGGGCGACCGGCCACACUGGGACUGAGACACGGCCCAGACUCCCACGGGAGGCAGCAGUGGGGAAUAUUGCACAAUGGGCGGAAGCCUGAUGCAGCAACGCCGCGUGAGGGAUGACGGCCUUCGGGUUGUAAACCGCUUUCAGCAGGGACGAAGCGUAAGUGACGGUACCUGCAGAAGAAGCGCCGGCCAACUACGUG